CCCGAUCACUUCAAGAUGGCGGCGCUAAGUGGGGGAUCGGCUGAGGGGCCCUCACUGCUUAACGGAGACCUGGAGUCAGAUGCUGGUAGUCUAAGUGUUACCGGUGAUAUGUCUGCUGGCGGCGGAUACCCGGAGGAGACUGCAACUGUCCUAUGAAGACCACACUUUGAUAGCCAUUUGACCCUGCUUUUGCUUACUGGGGAGGGAUGUUCCUGUUUCAACUGUGCUUGAAUUGCGGAUGCUGAUGCUGUUCUGUGCCAUAACAAUGUUAGCGUUACAUAUUGGUCUUCUGAUGUAUGUUCACGCUAGAUCUGCCUAGACUUGCUUUGAAUAAAAAUGAUUUGGUUUCAGAAAA